AACCUGAAACCGUGUACGUACAAGCAGUGGGAGCACGCUUAGGCGUGUGACUGCGUACCUUUUGUAUAAUGGGUCAGCGACUUAUAUUCUGUAGCAAGGUUAACCGAAUAGGGGAGCCGAAGGGAAACCGAGUCUUAACUGGGCGUUAAGUUGCAGGGUAUAGACCCGAAACCCGGUGAUCUAGCCAUGGGCAGGUUGAAGGUUGGGUAACACUAACUGGAGGACCGAACCGACUAAUGUUGAAAAAUUAGCGGAUGACUUGUGGCUGGGGGUGAAAGGCCAAUCAAACCGGGAGAUAGCUGGUUCUCCCCGAAAGCUAUUUAGGUAGCGCCUCGUGAAUUCAUCUCCGGGGGUAGAGCACUGUUUCGGCAAGGGGGUCAUCCCGACUUACCAACCCGAUGCAAACUGCGAAUACCGGAGAAUGUUAUCACGGGAGACACACGGCGGGUGCUAACGUCCGUCGUGAAGAGGGAAACAACCCAGACCGCCAGCUAAGGUCCCAAAGUCAUGGUUAAGUGGGAAACGAUGUGGGAAGGCCCAGACAGCCAGGAUGUUGGCUUAGAAGCAGCCAUCAUUUAAAGAAAGCGUAAUAGCUCACUGGUCGAGUCGGCCUGCGCGGAAGAUGUAACGGGGCUAAACCAUGCACCGAAGCUGCGGCAGCGACGCUUAUGCGUUGUUGGGUA
rnacentral:rRNA from 1 species